rnacentral:rRNA from 1 species
UGAACGCUGGCGGCAUGCCUUACACAUGCAAGUCGAACGGCAGCGGGGGAAAGCUUGCUUUCCUGCCGGCGAGUGGCGAACGGGUGAGUAAUACAUCGGAACGUGCCCUGUAGUGGGGGAUAACUAGUCGAAAGAUUAGCUAAURCCGCAUACGACCUGAGGGUGAAAGUGGGGGACCGCAAGGCCUCAUGCUAUAGGAGCGGCCGAUGUCUGAUUAGCUAGUUGGUGGGGUAAAGGCCUACCAAGGCGACGAUCAGUAGCUGGUCUGAGAGGACGAUCAGCCACACUGGGACUGAGACACGGCCCAGACUCCUACGGGAGGCAGCAGUGGGGAAUUUUGGACAAUGGGGGCAACCCUGAUCCAGCAAUGCCGCGUGUGUGAAGAAGGCCUUCGGGUUGUAAAGCACUUUUGUCCGGAAAGAAAUCGCACUGGUUAAUACCUGGUGUGGAUGACGGUACCGGAAGAAUAAGGACCGGCUAACUAC